GUUUCCCAGUCACGAUACACGGUCCAAACUCCUACGGGAGGCAGCAGUGAGGAAUAUUGGUCAAUGGACGAGAGUCUGAACCAGCCAAGUAGCGUGCAGGAUGACGGCCCUAUGGGUUGUAAACUGCUUUUAUAAGGGAAUAAAGUGAGUCUCUGAGACUUUUUGCAUGUACCUUAUGAAUAAGGACCGGCUAAUUCCGUGCCAGCAGCCGCGGUAAUACGGAAGGUCCGGGCGUUAUCCGGAUUUAUUGGGUUUAAAGGGAGCGUAGGCCGGAGAUUAAGCGUGUUGUGAAAUGUAGAUGCUCAACAUCUGCACUGCAGCGCGAACUGGUUUCCUUGAGUACGCACAAAGUGGGCGGAAUUCGUGGUGUAGCGGUGAAAUGCUUAGAUAUCACGAAGAACUCCGAUUGCGAAGGCAGCUCACUGGAGCGCAACUGACGCUGAAGCUCGAAAGUGCGGGUAUCGAACAGGAUUAGAUACCCUGGUAGUCCGCACGGUAAACGAUGGAUGCCCGCUGUUGGUCUGAAUAGGUCAGCGGCCAAGCGAAAGCAUUAAGCAUCCCACCUGGGGAGUACGCCGGCAACGGUGAAACUCAAAGGAAUUGACGGGGGCCCGCACAAGCGGAGGAACAUGUGGUUUAAUUCGAUGAUACGCGAGGAACCUUACCCGGGCUUGAAUUGCAGAGGAAGGAUUUGGAGACAAUGACGCCCUUCGGGGCCUCUGUGAAGGUGCUGCAUGGUUGUCGUCAGCUCGUGCCGUGAGGUGUCGGCUUAAGUGCCAUAACGAGCGCAACCCCUCUCCUUAGUUGCCAUCAGGUCAAGCUGGGCACUCUGGGGACACUGCCACCGUAAGGUGUGAGGAAGGUGGGGAUGACGUCAAAUCAGCACGGCCCUUACGUCCGGGGCUACACACGUGUUACAAUGGCAGGUACAGAGAGAUGGUGUUCUGCAAAGCGCAUCUAAUCCUUAAAGCCUGUCUCAGUUCGGACUGGGGUCUGCAACCCGACCCCACGAAGCUGGAUGUAUCGUGACUGGGAAAC
rnacentral:rRNA from 1 species